rnacentral:misc_RNA from 1 species
GUUUCUUUCUCCUCCCUCGCUCUCUGCAGCAACCAACUCCGCCUUUUGCCGCACAUUGUCGGCUGCCGGCACGCCUCCGCAGUCAAUUUUCUCUAUUUAUCCGCGGUCUCCGGCACGGGGAAGACUAGAAUUCUUUAGAAGGUUAAAAGACUAGAAGACUAGAAUUCUAUUAAUUUUCAGAUCGUUCAUCGCUACCCAGACCCUAAAAGCCCUCGGUUCCACCUCUUCAAAGCUUCUCCCCAAGCUCUCUUCAGAAAAUUUAGCUGAUGCAGCUACGUGUUCUUAAACCUAAAAGAAGUUAGAAUUCAUCCCGAAAAUUGUUGCUGUGUUUUUUCUGAAGUUAAUCCAGUUUGAGUCUUCGAGUUUGUCAAUCCAGCAUUGUGGUGAAAGACAUGAAAGACCGACCUGAGUUACUGAUACUGUAUGCAACUCAAACUGGCAAUGCGCAAGAUGCUGCAGAGAGGUUAGGCCGAGAAGCUGAGCAUAGAGGUUGUGUUG